AACGAACGCUGGCGGCAGGCCUAACACAUGCAAGUCGAACGCCCUAGCAAUAGGGAGUGGCAGACGGGUGAGUAACACGUGGGAACGUUCCUUUCGGUUCGGAAUAACCCAGGGAAACUUGGACUAAUACCGGAUACGUGCGAGAGCAGAAAGAUUUAUCGCCGAAAGAUCGGCCCGCGUCCGAUUAGCUAGUUGGUGAGGUAACGGCUCACCAAGGCGACGAUCGGUAGCUGGUCUGAGAGGAUGAUCAGCCACAUUGGGACUGAGACACGGCCCAAACUCCUACGGGAGGCAGCAGUGGGGAAUAUUGGACAAUGGGCGAAAGACCUGAUCCAGCCAUGCCGCGUGAGUGAUGAAGGCCUUAGGGUUGUAAAGCUCUUUUACCCGGGAAGAUAAUGACGGUACCGGGAGAAUAAGCCCCGGCUAACUUCGUGCCAGCAGCCG
rnacentral:rRNA from 1 species